CCUACGGGAGACUGCAGUGAGGAAUAUUGGUCAAUGGGCGGGAGCCUGAACCAGCCAAGUCGCGUGAGGGACGACGGUCCUAUGGAUUGUAAACCUCUUUUGUCGGGGAACAAAGGCGCCCACGGGUGGGCGGAUGAGUGUACCCGAAGAAAAAGCAUCGGCUAACUCCGUGCCAGCAGCCGCGGUAAUACGGAGGAUGCGAGCGUUAUCCGGAUUUAUUGGGUUUAAAGGGUGCGUAGGCGGACGGUCAAGUCAGCGGUAAAAAUGCGGUGCUCAACGCCGUACAGCCGUUGAAACUGGCAGUCUUGAGUGGGCGAGAAGUAUGCGGAAUGCGUGGUGUAGCGGUGAAAUGCUUAGAUAUCAGGAGGAACAUCGGUGGCGUAAGCGCUUUACUGGGCCGUAAUUGACGCUGAGGAACGAAAGCCAGGGUAGCAAAUGGGAUUAGAUACCCUGGUAGUC
rnacentral:rRNA from 1 species